rnacentral:rRNA from 1 species
AUUGAACGCUGGCGGCAUGCCUUACACAUGCAAGUCGAACGGCAGCACGGAGCUUGCUCUGGUGGCGAGUGGCGAACGGGUGAGUAAUAUAUCGGAACGUACCCUAGAGUGGGGGAUAACGUAGCGAAAGUUACGCUAAUACCGCAUACGAUCUAAGGAUGAAAGUGGGGGAUCGCAAGACCUCAUGCUCGUGGAGCGGCCGAUAUCUGAUUAGCUAGUUGGUAGGGUAAAAGCCUACCAAGGCAUCGAUCAGUAGCUGGUCUGAGAGGACGACCAGCCACACUGGAACUGAGACACGGUCCAGACUCCUACGGGAGGCAGCAGUGGGGAAUUUUGGACAAUGGGCGAAAGCCUGAUCCAGCAAUGCCGCGUGAGUGAAGAAGGCCUUCGGGUUGUAAAGCUCUUUUGUCAGGGAAGAAACGGUGAGAGCUAAUAUCUCUUGCUAAUGACGGUACCUGAAGAAUAAGCACCGGCUAACUACGUGCCAGCAGCCGCGGUAAUACGUAGGGUGCAAGCGUUAAUCGGAAUUACUGGGCGUAAAGCGUGCGCAGGCGGUUUUGUAAGUCUGAUGUGAAAUCCCCGGGCUCAACCUGGGAAUUGCAUUGGAGACUGCAAGGCUAGAAUCUGGCAGAGGGGGGUAGAAUUCCACGUGUAGCAGUGAAAUGCGUAGAUAUGUGGAGGAACACCGAUGGCGAAGGCAGCCCCCUGGGUCAAGAUUGACGCUCAUGCACGAAAGCGUGGGGAGCAAACAGGAUUAGAUACCCUGGUAGUCCACGCCCUAAACGAUGUCUACUAGUUGUCGGGUCUUAAUUGACUUGGUAACGCAGCUAACGCGUGAAGUAGACCGCCUGGGGAGUACGGUCGCAAGAUUAAAACUCAAAGGAAUUGACGGGGACCCGCACAAGCGGUGGAUGAUGUGGAUUAAUUCGAUGCAACGCGAAAAACCUUACCUACCCUUGACAU